rnacentral:rRNA from 1 species
CACGUAGGGGACGAGCGUUGUCCGGAAUCAUUGGGCGUAAAGCGCGUGUAGGCGGUCCGGUAAGUCCGCUGUGAAAGUCGGGGGCUCAACCCUCGGAUGCCGGUGGAUACUGUCGGACUAGAGUACGGAAGAGGCGAGUGGAAUUCCUGGUGUAGCGGUGAAAUGCGCAGAUAUCAGGAGGAACACCAAUUGCGAAGGCAGCUCGCUGGGACGUUACUGACGCUGAGACGCGAAAGCGUGGGGAGCAAACAGG